GGAACAUCUUUGAGGUCCCAGGUCACAGCAACCACUUGAAAGGAUGGAUGAAUGGAUAUUUUCCAACAAAAAUCCAAUAUUAUCCAGAGGUGUUCCACCCCCUGCUUUGUCACAGGCCUACAAAGAGGGAGCAAUCACAUCCACAAUUGA